rnacentral:rRNA from 1 species
UAGGGAAUCUUCCGCAAUGGGCGAAAGCCUGACGGAGCAACGCCGCGUGAGUGAUGAAGGUCUUAGGAUCGUAAAACUCUGUUAUUAGGGAAGAACAAACGUGUAAGUAACUGUGCACGUCUUGACGGUACCUAAUCAGAAAGCCAAGGCUAACUACGUGCCAGCAGCCGCGGUAAUACGUAGGUGGCAAGCGUUAUCCGGAAUUAUUGGGCGUAAAGCGCGCGUAGGCGGUUUUUUAAGUCUGAUGUGAAAGCCCACGGCUCAACCGUGGAGGGUCAUUGGAAACUGGAAAACUUGAGUGCAGAAGAGGAAAGUGGAAUUCCAUGUGUAGCGGUGAAAUGCGCAGAGAUAUGGAGGAACACCAGUGGCGAAGGCGACUUUCUGGUCUGUAACUGACGCUGAUGUGCGAAAGCGUGGGGAUCAAACA